AGAGAGCAUUGGGUGUAAAGCGUGCGCAGGCGGUUUGUAAGACAGAGGUGAAAUCCCGGGCUCAACCUGGGAACUGCCUUUGUGACUGCAAGGCUGGAGUGCGGCAGAGGGGGAUGGAAUUCCGCGUGUAGCAGUGAAAUGCGUAGAUAUGCGGAGGAACACCGAUGGCGAAGGCAAUCCCCUGGGCCUGCACUGACGCUCAUGCACGAAAGCGUGGGGAGCAAACA
rnacentral:rRNA from 1 species